GAUGAACGCUGGCGGCGUGCCUAAUACAUGCAAGUCGAGCGAACAGAUGAGGAGCUUGCUCCUCUGACGUUAGCGGCGGACGGGUGAGUAACACGUGGAUAACCUACCUAUAAGACUGGGAUAACUUCGGGAAACCGGAGCUAAUACCGGAUAAUAUAUUUAACCGCAUGGUUCAAUAGUGAAAGACGGUUUUGCUGUCACUUAUAGCUGGAUCCGCGCCGCAUUAGCUAGUUGGUAAGGUAACGGCUUACCAAGGCGACGAUGCGUAGCCGACCUGAGAGGGUGAUCGGCCACACUGGAACUGAGACACGGUCCAGACUCCUACGGGAGGCAGCAGUAGGGAAUCUUCCGCAAUGGGCGAAAGCCUGACGGAGCAACGCCGCGUGAGUGAUGAAGGUCUUCGGAUCGUAAAACUCUGUUAUUAGGGAAGAACAAAUGUGUAAGUAACUAUGCACGUCUUGACGGUACCUAAUCAGAAAGCCACGGCUAACUACGUG
rnacentral:rRNA from 1 species